rnacentral:rRNA from 1 species
AGUGAACGCUGGCGGCGUGCUUAACACAUGCAAGUCGAACGAGAACGGUCUAGCUUGCUAGAUGUCAGCUAAGUGGCGAACGGGUGAGUAAUACAUUGGAAUAUGCCCUAUAGUCUGGGAUAACAGUUGGAAACGACUGCUAAUACCGGAUACACCCUACGGGGGAAAGAUUUAUUGCUAUAGGAUUAGCCAAUGGCCUAUCAGCUAGUUGGUGAGGUAAUGGCUCACCAAGGCUAUGACGGGUAAGUGGUUUGAGAGGAUGAUCACUCACACUGGAACUGAGACACGGUCCAG